rnacentral:rRNA from 1 species
AUUGAACGCUGGCGGCAGGCCUAACACAUGCAAGUCGAGCGGAGCGGCGGACGGGUGAUUAAUGCCUAGGAAUCAGCCUGGGAGUGGGGGAUAACGUCCGGAAACGGGCGCUAAUACCGCAUACUAUCAGAUGAGCCUAGGUGGGAUUAGCUAGUGGGUGGGGGAAAGGCCUACCAAGGCGACGAUCCGUAACUGGUCUGAGAGGAUGAUCAGUCACACUGGAACUGAGACACGGUCCAGACUCCGACGGGAGGCAGCAGUGGGGAAUAUUGCACAAUGGGCGCAAGCCUGAUACAGCCAUGCCGCGUGUAUGAAGAAGGCUUUAGGGUUGUAAAGUACUUUCAGCGGGGAGGCGUUACCCGCAGAAGAAGCACCGGCUAACUCCGUGCCAGCAGCCGCGGUAAUAC